CAAACACAUACCGGAAGUUAACUUCGGGCCAGGUGCGUGCGCCCGAUGAAACCGUCUAUACUGCAUGCAUACCCUGUUUUGCGCCACUGCUGAGAGGAUCUUAAACCAAAAGCAUGACGCUUAUUUAUUUAUUUUCCCCUGCCAAUCUUCAUACUCGGCAAACUGGAGUAACCCCACUGCGGUAACUUUUGACACGCUCAGCACUCCUUUGCUGCAGAGACCAAUGCUUGACGUUAAUGGAUCCACAUCAAGUUUCCAAGUUUUUGGAGAGCUUCUGGAACUGAGAGCCACUGAAGCAAAGAUGACAGUAUCCAGUUUGUGUACAUCCAGGGCUGAAGCAUUCCACCUGCAGAUCAACUACCAUUAAAGUGAAUGGGAAUGCUUAUGGAUAGCUCUGUGCAGACAUAAUACCAGCCACUUCUGAAGAGCAGCAGGGCCUCUAAAAUGAGUUUCUAUGAGAAGAGAAAGGGAGCUGUUUCUGCUCAGACCAAAAGGGCGGGAAAUCCAGAACCCAGCUGUGUGUCUAUGAAGAGUGAUGUAUCUAUGGGCAUGCCACCUGAAUUCAGUGGUGAAGCAGUGAACCCUGACCCCAAGUGAGACACAAGAUUUAAUCUUAAACUGAUAGUUCACCCAAAAUGAAAAUUUGCUGUUAAUUUACUCACCCUCAGGCCAUCCAAGAUGUAGGUGACUUUUUUCU
rnacentral:lncRNA from 1 species